rnacentral:rRNA from 1 species
CCUACGGGUGGCAGCAGUGAGGAAUAUUGGUCAAUGGACGAGAGUCUGAACCAGCCAAGUAGCGUGAAGGAUGACUGCCCUAUGGGUUGUAAACUUCUUUUAUAAAGGAAUAAAACGAGGCACGUGUGCCUAUUUGCAUGUACUUUAUGAAUAAGGAUCGGCUAACUCCGUGCCAGCAGCCGCGGUAAUACGGAGGAUCUGAGCGUUAUCCGGAUUUAUUGGGUUUAAAGGGAGCGUAGAUGGGUUGUUAAGUCAGUUGUGAAAGUUUGCGGCUCAACCGUAAAAUUGCAAUUGAUACUGGCAGCCUUGAGUACAGUUGAGGUAGGCGGAAUUCGUGGUGUAGCGGUGAAAUGCUUAGAUAUCACGAAGAACCCCGAUUGCGAAGGCAGCCUACUAAACUGUGACUGACAUUGAUGCUCGAAAGUGUGGGUAUCAAACAGGAUUAGAUACCCCAGUAGUC